UAUCGAUCAACUAGUGACUGCGCACACC
rnacentral:piRNA from 1 species